rnacentral:misc_RNA from 1 species
CUUGGAUGAUCUGCUAACUAGAAGCUUUCAAAAACAUACGAUUAAAAAUUUAAAUAAAGAAAAAUAUUCUGUAUUUUCUAAAGAUGUUACACGUCUACAGAUGAUACUAUACGAUUUGGUAAAAUGGAAAAGAAAACUUACCACUGUCGCGCCCAUCUUCUCCGUGCUUCGUCUCUUUCGAGAACAUUAAUAGGUAAAGUAAUGUAAAUGAAUUUUUUAAAAAUUAAAUAAGUAGAAUAAUUUUUGUACCUUUUGUAUAAGGGUUAAUUAAUAUAAUUUAUAAAUUUAAUAAUCUCGAAAAAAGAAGAGCUAAAUAUUUAAUUAUGCUUUUGUGGAAUAAAGAGUUAUAAUAUAUAUUUAGAAAUUAGACGUUAAUCGAAUCUUUUUAUAUUUUUUUAUAUUUUUUUAUAUAAUUUACAAAAAGCAUUGAGUUCGAUCUAAAGAAGAGUCAGCUUCGCUAAUAAACGAACACUAUUACAGCUGCGAACUAUCGAUCAGAAC